GAUGAACGCUGGCGGCGUGCCUAAUACAUGCAAGUCGAGCGAACAGACGAGGAGCUUGCUCCUCUGACGUUAGCGGCGCGCGGGUGUAAAACACGUGUAUCACCUCCCUAUCAGACUGGGAUAACUUCGGGACACCGGCUCUAAUCCCAUAUGAUAUAUUGAACCACAUGGUUCGAUAGUAAAUGUCGGUUUUUGUGUCUCUUCUCGCUGCAUACGCGCCUCUUUAGCUAGUUGGUAAGUUCACGGCUUAUCAAGGCGACGAUGCGUGACCGACCUGAGAGAGUGAUCGGCCACCCUGGAACGGAGACACGGUCCAGACGCCUACGGGAGGCAGCAGUAGGGAAUCGGCCGCAAUGGGCGAAAGCAUGACGGAGCAACGCCGCGUGAGUGAUGAAGGUCUUCGGAUCGUAAAACUCUGUUACUAGGGAAGAACAAAUGUGGAAGUAAAUAUGCACGGCUUGACGGUACCGAAUCAGAAAGCCACGGCUAACUACGUG
rnacentral:rRNA from 1 species